rnacentral:rRNA from 1 species
UACGUAGGGGGCAAGCGUUGUCCGGAAUUAUUGGGCGUAAAGAGCUCGUAGGCGGCUCGGUAAGUCGGAUGUGAAACCUCCAGGCUCAACCUGGAGACGCCAUCUGAUACUGCCGUGGCUUGAGUCCGGUAGAGGAGCAGGGAAUUCCUGGUGUAGCGGUGAAAUGCGCAGAUAUCAGGAGGAACACCGAUGGCGAAGGCAGAUCUCUGGGCCGUAACUGACGCUGAGGAGCGAAAGCAUGGGGAGCGAACAGG